GCUGUCCCCGCAAGGGGAGGGAGGAAAGUCCGGGCAACACAGAGUGCCGUGCUUCUUAACGGGAAGAUGGCCGCGAGGUCAUAGUAGCGUAACAGAGAAUAACCGCCUGCCGCCCACGUGUGGGCUCGGUAGGUAAGGGUGAAAAGGCGGGGUAAGAGCCCACCGCCGCCGUGGUGACACGUGCGGGUCCGUACGCCUGACGGGUUGCAAGACCGCGUAUACCGACAAUUAAGGGUUACUCGUCCAAUGUCGGGGGGUAGGUUGCUAGAGGUGGCGAGUGAUCGUCAUCGUAGAUAAAUGGUAGAGGCUCCGCUCGUCGGAGUACAGAACCCGGCUUAUACCACCU
rnacentral:RNase_P_RNA from 1 species